GCCAAGGAAGAAGAUGGAGAACAUAAAAGAAGGACAUCAGUGGGCGAAAAGCUCAAUGCACGUCAUCACAAGGCAAAGCAUUGGUGGAAUACAUUCUUUCUCAUAUCAUCUGCAUUUGCCAUCUUCAACGAUCCUAUCUUCUGUUACCUGAAUGCCAUUGACGAUGAAAAUAAGUGCAUCACUACGGACAACUCUUUGGCCAGAAACUAUAUUUACUCUCGAACAGUCACAGAUGUUUUCUACCUAAUCGACUUUCUUAUUUCUAAGUGUGGUUGUUGUUGUUGUUGUUGUUGUUGUUGUGGUGGUAGAAGGAAGAGAUCAUGUCGGUCUUGCUUUCCUAACCUAUUAUCCACCCUAUCUCGCAUCUACGUUUUUCUUCCCAUUGCGCAGAUCCUCGUGACCCGCAUGAAAGACCACCAAGAUCCGAAUUCUAGUAACUUUCUUUUUCUCACUUCCCUCCAAUAUACUUUACGGAUUUAUUAUAUCUACGGAUCGUUAGAGCGGCGUCCUAUCAUAGACAUAACCCGGGCUGAAAGAUGGCUUAGACCUAUAUUGGGUUUUGUUCCCUUUAUCCUUGCUUCACAUCUAUUUGGAGCCUUCUGGUACCUUCUUGCUACUCAAAGACAGAUUCAUUGUUGGGUUUCAACGCGUAAUCAAAUCAAUCCUAUUGUCAGUCCCAAUAAAACAAUCAUUUAUAUAACGAGUUCAAGUUCUAUGGGAUAUGUGGCCUGUAGCGCUCAACAUAACCUCACAUAUCCUACUGGGCAUAAUAUCUCGCUCUGGGAUGACUUAUGCCCGGUCAAAGACGCUGAUCCAAAGAUCUUUGAUUUUGGUAUAUAUUUGUACGCUCUUCAA